ACGAACGCUGGCGGCGUGCUUCACCCAUGCAAGUCGCACGGAAAGGCCCUGCUUUUGUGGGGUGCUCGAGUGGCGAACGGGUGAGUAACACGUGAGUAACCUGCCCGUGACUUUGGGAUAACUUCAGGAAACUGGGGCUAAUACCGGAUAGGAGCUCCUGCUGCAUGGUGGGGGUUGGAAAGUUUCGGCGGUUGGGGAUGGACUCGCGGCUUAUCAGCUUGUUGGUGGGGUAGUGGCUUACCAAGGCUUUGACGGGUAGCCGGCCUGAGAGGGUGACCGGCCACAUUGGGACUGAGAUACGGCCCAGACUCCUACGGGAGGCAGCAGUGGGGAAUAUUGCACAAUGGGCGGAAGCCUGAUGCAGCAACGCCGCGUGCGGGAUGACGGCCUUCGGGUUGUAAACCGCUUUCGCCUGUGACGAAGCGUGAGUGACGGUAAUGGGUAAAGAAGCACCGGCUAACUACGUG
rnacentral:rRNA from 1 species